GAUGAACGCUGGCGGCGUGCCUAAUACAUGCAAGUCGAGCGGACUGACGCGUAGAUUGCUUCUCUGUCGAUAGCGGCGGACCGGUGUGUCACACGUGGAUAACCUACCUAUGCGACUUGGCUCACUUCGGGAAACCGGAGCUAAUACCGUCUAAUAUUUUCACCCGCACGGUUCCUACGUCAUAGACGGUGUUGCUGUCACUAAUAGAUUGAUACGCGCCGCCUUAUCUAUUGCGUAAGGUAACGGGUUUCCAAGGCAACGAGGGGUAGCGGAUCUGAGAGGGUGAUCGACCAGACGGGAUGUGAGACACGGCCCAGACUUCUACGGGGGGCAGCAGUAGGGAAUCCUACGCGAGGGGCGAGAGGCUGACAGAGCAACGCCGCGUGAGUGAUGAAGGUGUGCCGAUCGGAAAACGCUGUUAUUAGGGAAGAAGAAAUGUGUAAGUAACAGUGCACAUCUUGACGGUACCUAAUUAGAAAGCCACGGCUAACUACGUG
rnacentral:rRNA from 1 species